rnacentral:tRNA from 1 species
UCCCCAGUGCCUCAGAUGGUAAAGAACCUGCCUGCAAAGCAGAAGAUCUGGGUUCGAUCCCUAGGUUGGGAA